GCCUUCGUGGUGUAAUGGUUAGCACACUCGACGCGCAUUCGAGAGGUACAGGUUCGAGCCCCGGCGAGGGCA
rnacentral:tRNA from 1 species